UACGUAGGUGGCAAGCGUUGUCCGGAUUUACUGGGUGUAAAGGGCGUGUAGCCGGGCUGACAAGUCAGAUGUGAAAUUCCGGGGCUCAACCCCGGACCUGCAUUUGAAACUGUUGGUCUUGAGUAUCGGAGGGGCAGGCGGAAUUCCUAGUGUAGCGGUGAAAUGCGUAGAUAUCACGAAGAACCCCGAUUGCGAAGGCAGCCUGCCGCAGCGUUACUGACGCUGAAGCUCGAAAGCGCGGGUAUCGAACAGG
rnacentral:rRNA from 1 species